GCCUCAGUAGUCUAGAGGUCUAGGACCCUUGCCUGUCACGCGAGGAACCCGGGUUCGAAUCCCGGCUGAGGCG
rnacentral:tRNA from 1 species